rnacentral:rRNA from 1 species
CAAGUCGAACGGUGAAGGUGGGAGCUUGCUCCUGCUGGAUCAGUGGCGAACGGGUGAGUAACACGUGAGUAACCUGCCCUUGACUCUGGGAUAAGCGUUGGAAACGACGUCUAAUACCGGAUACGAGCUUCAGCCGCAUGGCUAGGAGUUGGAAAGAAUUUCGGUCAAGGAUGGACUCGCGGCCUAUCAGCUUGUUGGUGAGGUAAUGGCUCACCAAGGCGACGACGGGUAGCCGGCCUGAGAGGGUGACCGGCCACACUGGGACUGAGACACGGCCCAGACUCCUACGGGAGGCAGCAGUGGGGAAUAUUGCACAAUGGGCGCAAGCCUGAUGCAGCAACGCCGCGUGAGGGACGACGGCCUUCGGGUUGUAAACCUCUUUUAGCAGGGAAGAAGCGAAAGUGACGGUACCUGCAGAAAAAGCACCGGCUAACUACGUGCCAGCAGCCGCGGUAAUACGUAGGGUGCAAGCGUUGUCCGGAAUUAUUGGGCGUAAAGAGCUCGUAGGCGGUUUGUCGCGUCUGCUGUGAAAACGCGAGGCUCAACCUCGCGCCUGCAGUGGGUACGGGCAGACUAGAGUGCGGUAGGGGAGAUUGGAAUUCCUGGUGUAGCGGUGGAAUGCGCAGAUAUCAGGAGGAACACCGAUGGCGAAGGCAGAUCUCUGGGCCGUAACUGACGCUGAGGAGCGAAAGCGUGGGGAGCGAACAGGAUUAGAUACCCUGGUAGUCCACGCCGUAAACGUUGGGAACUAGAUGUAGGGACCAUUCCACGGUUUCUGUGUCGCAGCUAACGCAUUAAGUUCCCCGCCUGGGGAG